ensembl:Y_RNA Y_RNA Y RNA
GGCUGGUCCGAAAGUAGUGAGUUAUCUCAAUUGAUCACAGUCAGUUACAGAUUGAUCUCCUCAUUCUCUCUUACCCCCCUUCCCACUACUGCGCUUGACUUGUCUUUU